UGGGGAAUUUUGCACAAUGGGGGAAACCCUGAUGCAGCGACGCCGCGUGAUUUAGAAGGCCUUCGGGUUGUAAAAAUCUUUCCUAUGGGAAGAAAAUGACAGUACCAUAGGAAUAAGGACCGGCUAAUUACGUGCCAGCAGCCGCGGUAAUACGUAAGGUCCGAGCGUUGUCCGGAAUCAUUGGGCGUAAAGGGUACGUAGGCGGGUAAGCAAGUUAGAAGUGAAAUCCUAUAGCUCAACUCUAGUAAGCUUUUAAAACUGCUCAUCUUGAGGUAUGUAAGGGAAAGUGGAAUUCCUAGUGUAGCGGUGAAAUGCGCAGAUAUUAGGAGGAAUACCUGUGGCGAAGGCGACUUUCUGGCCAUAACCUGACGCUGAGGUACGAAAGCGUGGGUAGCAAACAGG
rnacentral:rRNA from 1 species